CAGCAAAACCGCGAGGUGGAGCAAAUCUCCAAAAAACGUCUCAGUUCGGAUUGUAGGCUGCAACCCGCCUGCAUGAAGUCGGAAUUGCUAGUAAUCGUAGAUCAGCAUGCUACGGUGAAUACGUUCCCGGGCCUUGUACACACCGCCCGUCAAACCAUGAGAGUUGGCAACACCCGAAGCCUGUAGCUUAACCGCAAGGACGGCGCAGUCGAAGGUGGGGUCGAUGAUUAGGGUUAAGUCGUAACAAGGUACC
rnacentral:rRNA from 1 species